GAACGAAUUAAUUUCGUCUUGCGAGGCACCACUGUAGAUUUAUGGAUAAUUGCAUACAGUGGUGCCUCGCAAGACGAAAUUAAUUCGUUC